rnacentral:rRNA from 1 species
AUUGAACGCUGGCGGCAGGCCUAACACAUGCAAGUCGAACGGUAACAGGAAGAUGCUUGCUUCUUUGCUGACGAGUGGCGGACGGGUGAGUAAUGUCUGGGAAACUGCCUGAUGGAGGGGGAUAACUACUGGAAACGGUAGCUAAUACCGCAUAACGUCGCAAGACCAAAGAGGGGGACCUUCGGGCCUCUUGUCAUCGGAUGUGCCCAGAUGGGAUUAGCUAGUAGGUGGGGUAACGGCUCACCUAGGCGACGAUCCCUAGCUGGUCUGAGAGGAUGACCAGCCACACUAGAACUGAGACACGGUCCAGACUCCUACGGGAGGCAGCAGUGGGGAAUAUUGCACAAUGGGCGCAAGCCUGAUGCAGCCAUGCCGCGUGUAUGAAGAAGGCCUUCGGGUUGUAAAGUACUUUCAGCGGGGAGGAAGGGAGUAAAGUUAAUACCUUUGCUCAUUGACAUUACCCGCAGAAGAAGCACCGGCUAACUCCGUG